rnacentral:rRNA from 1 species
GAUGAACGCUGGCGGCGUGCUUAACACAUGCAAGUCGAACGAAGCAACUUAUUACGAUCCCUUCGGGGUGACGAUUUGUUGACUGAGUGGCGGACGGGUGAGUAACGCGUGGGUAACCUGCCUUGUACAGGGGGACAACAGUUGGAAACGACUGCUAAUACCGCAUAAGCGCACAGCUUCGCAUGAAGYAGUGUGAAAAGAUUUUUCGGUACAAGAUGGACCCGCGUCUGAUUAGCUAGUUGGUGAGGUAACGGCCCACCAAGGCGACGAUCAGUAGCCGACCUGAGAGGGUGACCGGCCACAUUGGGACUGAGACACGGCCCAAACUCCUACGGGAGGCAGCAGUGGGGAAUAUUGCACAAUGGGCGAAAGCCUGAUGCAGCGACGCCGCGUGAGCGAAGAAGUAUUUCGGUAUGUAAAGCUCUAUCAGCAGGGAAGAUAAUGACGGUACCUGACUAAGAAGCACCGGCUAAAUACGUGC